UACGUAGGUGGCAAGCGUUUGUCCGGAAUUAUUGGGCGUAAAGCGCGCGCAGGUGGUUCUUUUAAGUCUGAUGUGAAAGCCCACGGCUCAACCGUGGAGGGUCAUUGGAAACUGGGGAACUUGAGUGCAGAAGAGGAAAGUGGAAUUCCAAGUGUAGCGGUGAAAUGCGUAGAGAUUUGGAGGAACACCAGUGGCGAAGGCGACUUUCUGGUCUGUAACUGACACUGAGGCGCGAAAGCGUGGGGGAGCAAACAGG
rnacentral:rRNA from 1 species